rnacentral:lncRNA from 1 species
GCAGGUUGAUGUCAGUAGAGGAGGAGCUGAAGAAGGAUCACGCGGAGAUGCAAGCAGCCGUAGACUCCAAACAGAAGAUCAUCGAUGCCCAGGAGAAGCGCAUCGCCUCACUGGACGCGGCCAACGCCCGCCUCAUGAGCGCCCUGACACAGCUGAAAGAGAGGUACAGCAUGCAAGCCCGUAACGGCAUCUCCCCCACCAACCCCACCAAAUUGCAGAUUACCGAGAACGGCGAGUUCCGAAACAGCAGCAAUUGUUAACCUGCCCGAGGAGAGGGAGGACUGUGGUGGCCCAGGGCGGGGUCUCGGCCUGGGGAGGAGCAGCCCCAGCGCAGGGGGCGAGAGGCCGAGGCUCGCCUCCCCCUCCACCCAAGGUCCAGGAGGCGGCCGCAGAGGGAGCCUCGAGAGACUGAGCAGCGAGAGCGGGGGCACCGGCCCGCUCCCCGAGAAGCGAGUUCGGUGCAGGCCAAAGAGACUGCAGGCUGGGGAGUGGGGACAGCCUGGGGGGGAGCAGGGGCCUGCCGCAGCGUGUCUCUGUUGGCGUUGAAUGUGGCGUGGCGUGCAUCACCUGGCCGAGUUCACCAACCCCUCCUCCCCAGGGAGGGAGCUGCCCGGAGAGGUGGCGGGUGGAAGAGCCCAGGGCCUGUUCGCGUGGCGUGUUCCCGUGGCUUCCCCGUGCCUCCUGCCCUGUGGGCCUGCCCCUCAGUUCCAGGAGCUGACUGUCUGCAGGCAGGGAGAGGGUGCGGGGGAUGGAGCCGCCAGAGUUCUGGGUCCCCACCCGUCUCCACCCUGAGCACCUGUCACUGCAUGCGCGGGGACCCUCCCUGGCCGUGAGAAACCAAGGAUUCACCCCCAUACCUGUCCCAGACUCUCCACCUUCCCCCUUCUGCCCUCCCUUCCUAACCUGUUCUGCCACACAAACCCGCUGGGGAUCGCAGCCCUUUUUUAUUCUGGGCCCUCGUACCUGCGGGCAGCUCCAGAGCCUCCGUCAUUUGCUAUGUGGGCGCGGGCUGAUGCUCUGGGGCUCCCCCAGCCAAAGAUCUGGGCAGAGUUGGCGCCGGAGGCACCGCGUGGUGCCUGCCCUUCUCUUGGAGCUAGUGUACCAGGGUGCAGUGGCCCCGCAGGGAGUGGCCAGCUGGUGCUGCCCCCGAGAGACAGGCUGAGCUGUCCUGAUUGAUGGUUAAAAAAAAAUUCUAACACCCACAGGCCCUGAGAAGGUGGAUAACUGUGAUUUUUUUUCCUUUCACAGUAUGCAUUAGAAACAAAAGCCCGCUUGCUCGCUUGCUGGAACACAGGGGCCUUUUAAAUUGAGCGUGCGCACUGCAUGGGAAAUAGCGGCCCUGGAGGAUGUUAGACUUGCUCCCUCUCCAAGACAGCAGCAGCCUGCACCCGCCCGCGUGUGCGGCGGCCUCUGCCUCACCCCUCCCGGGCCCAGCCUCGGACCCAGGCGCUGCAGACAGGGGAGGGGCACACCCCAGCGCGGGGCCCACCCCCUCAGCGCUAGGCUAUUCUGUAGCUGGUCAGCCCUCCCCGCCCCCCUUGUGGGACAUAAGUGGGCAGGAGCUUGGGUCUCUCUUGUCCCUCCUGGGUCCCACCCCUGGCCCUGGGGAACCCCCCGGCAAGAGCUGGGGCGCUUGCCCCACAGGGGAGCUGGGCUGGGUCCGCUGUGGGAGCUGCCCCUUUUGCCUCAGCCCUACGAAGCUGAGGAGGCCCUUUCUGCUCCUGGGGUUGGAGACUCCACUGGAAGAGGGGCGCGGGCGGAGUGGCCCACGUGCACCCCAUCCUGGGCCUGUGCUCUGGGCGGGGCUCUUAGAUGAAGCCCGCAGGUCCCUUAGGCCAGAGCCCUGCUGGUGGGGAGAGGGCAGGACCCCCUGGGGUCAGACCUCAGGAAGGAGGGCCUUGGGGCUGAGGCCCGGCCCCACUCCUCCGGCCGCAGGGGCAGGGCCUGGCCCAGCGACGCCCUCCUCUGGUUCAGUCUCGCCCCUGCUACCCAGUGCGCCCGCCCCUCCUCCCUCCCCCCUCCCCCACCGCUGCCUCGUCGCGAGACCUCGGACCCAGCGCCUCUUAGCAAUACAGGGGGAGGUUCCCAGGGCCUGGCCCUCGGGCUCAGGAGGCCAGCUGGGGCCGGUGCUGGCGGCCCUUGGCCUGGGUUGUGAGUUCUCAGGCCAAGAGCCUUACUUAGUGCAAAAACUGUAAAAGUGUACAGACUCUCCACAGAUUUUUAUCUGAAUUGCAAGUCUGACAAUUUUUGUAAAUGUUCUUGGUGUUUGACUGUAAUGUAACUAUUUCAAAACCUAAUGGUUGUACAUAGUCCUUUAGUCCUGGUGCUGCCGAGGGCUGCCCGGGACCGCUGCUCUCCGAUGGUUUUUAUUUUAUUUUUAAUCUAGAGAACAGUAUUGGGCAGGAGGCAGAGGUUGGGGAUUUGGGCAUGGGGGUUCGUCCCUGCUUGUGACAUUGAUUUGUUGGCUUUGCGGCACGCUGUCGGGGUGAGGUGGGGACGUGUACCCACGUCCCAGAGGGCAGGUGGGCGAGGGAAGACAAGUCCCUGUUGGGGGGCCCCAGGCCCCAGGCCCAGCCUUGCUGGAGAAGGCUCUCCCCUCCCCUCUCCUGCCAACAGAGGCCUGACUUUUUUUGCUUGACUUUCAUGUUUAGGGUGAAGGAAAACUGCCAAACUUCCUAUAAGCGAAGACUCUUUCUGACUGCCCAGAGGGGGGUGGGGAGCCAAGGCCAGAGCUCCAGGAGCCCCCACCCGGCAGGGCAUCUGCCCCGGGUGCGCCCCCGCCCCCCACACCCCGUCUGUCUGCAGCAGGCAGACUGUCCAGGGAAACAGCCCCUCUUUUCUACACACUCGGCCCCAAGCUGCCCCCCGCCCCCACUCCACCUCCCUGCCCCCCCUUUUGUAAGUAUGUGAAAAGGAAAAAAUGCAAACGGAGUCCUGGCCGGAGCUCCUCCCUCCAGCUGUGACUCUAUGUAAUAAUGUACAGAGAAAGUUGUUGGUGUUCUAAGACUGUGUGGCUGUGCAAUUUCUGUACAUUUGCAAUUAGAAAUAUUAAAGAUUUAUUUAGCUAUUU